rnacentral:rRNA from 1 species
AGCAGUAGCCGCGGGAAUACGUAGGUGGCAAGCGUUGUCCGGAAUUAUUGGGCGUAAAGGGCUCGCAGGCGGUUUCUUAAGUCUGAUGUGAAAGCCCCCGGCUCAACCGGGGAGGGUCAUUGGAAACUGGGAAACUUGAGUGCAGAAGAGGAGAGUGGAAUUCCACGUGUAGCGGUGAAAUGCGUAGAGAUGUGGAGGAACACCAGUGGCGAAGGCGACUCUCUGGUCUGUAACUGACGCCGAGGAGCGAAAGCGUGGGGAGCGAACAGGAUUAGAUACCCGCGUAGUCCCUGUCUCUUAUAC